CGGCAUAGGAUGAGUUUGCGUAUCAUUAGCUAGUUGGUAGGGUAAUGGCCUACCAAGGCGACGAUGAUUAGCCGACCUGAGAGGGUGAUCGGCCACACUGGGACUGAGAUACGGCCCAGACUCCUACGGGAGGCAGCAGUGGGGAAUAUUGGACAAUGGGCGAAAGCCUGAUCCAGCAACGCCGCGUGAAGGAAGAAGGUCUUCGGAUUGUAAACUUCUGUUAUAGGGGAAAAAGAAAGUGAUGGUACCCUAUGAGAAAGCCAUGGCUAACUACGUGCCAGCAGCCGCGGUAAAACGUAGGUGGCAAGCGUUAUCCGGAAUUACUGGGCGUAAAGGGAGUGUAGGUGGCUUGAUAAGUCACAUGUGAAAGCCCACGGCUUAACCGUGGAAGUGCAUGUGAUACUGUUGAGCUAGAGUGUAGGAGAGGUGAGUGGAAUUCCUAGUGUAGCGGUAGAAUGCGUAGAGAUUAGGAGGAACACCAGAGGCGAAGGCGACUCACUGGACUAUAACUGACACUGAGACUCGAAAGCGUGGGGAGCAAACAGGAUUAGAUACCCUGGUAGUCCACGCCCUAAACGAUGGAUACUAGAUGUGGGGAGUAUCGACUCUUCCCGUGUCGUAGCUAACGCGUUAAGUAUCCCGCCUGGGGAGUACGGUCGCAAGAUUAAAACUCAAAGGAAUUGACGGGACCCCGCACAAGCAGCGGAGCAUGUCGUUUAAUUCGAAGCAACGCGAAGAACCUUACCAAGGCUUGACAUUAGAUGCAUAGUAUGGAAACAUAUGAAGUUUUGUAGGUAGCAAUACAGAACAUCCAAACAGAUGGUGCAUGGUUGUCGUCAGCUCGUGUCGUGAGAUGUUGGGUUAAGUCCCGCAACGAGCGCAACCCUUGUCGUUAGUUACCAGCACGAAGGUGGGAACUCUAGCGAGACUGCCGUUGAUAAAACGGAGGAAGGUGGGGAUGACGUCAAAUCAUCAUGCCUCUUACGCCUUGGGCUACACACGUGCUACAAUGGCCGUUACAAAGAGAUGCGAAGUAGUAAUAUGGAGCGAAACUCAAAAAGGCGGUCUCAGUUCAGAUUGUGGGCUGCAACCCGCCCACAUGAAGAUGGAGUUGCUAGUAAUCCUGAAUCA
rnacentral:rRNA from 1 species